rnacentral:rRNA from 1 species
ACAUGCAAGUCGAACGGCAGCGGGAAGAAAGCUUGCUUUCUUUGCCGGCGAGUGGCGAACGGGUGAGUAAUGUAUCGGAACGUGCCCAGUAGCGGGGGAUAACUGGCCGAAAGGUCAGCUAAUACCGCAUACGCCCUACGGGGGAAAGGGGGGGAUUCUUCGGAACCUCUCACUAUUGGAGCGGCCGAUAUCGGAUUAGCUGGUUGGUGGGGUAAUGGCCUACCAAGGCGACGAUCCGUAGCUGGUUUGAGAGGACGACCAGCCACACUGGGACUGAGACACGGCCCAGACUCCUACGGGAGGCAGCAGUGGGGAAUUUUGGACAAUGGGGGAAACCCUGAUCCAGCCAUCCCGCGUGUGCGAUGAAGGCCUUCGGGUUGUAAAGCACUUUUGUCAGGGAAGAAAAGGUUCUGGCUAAUACCCGGAACUGAUGACGGUACCUGAAGAAUAAGCACCGGCUAACUACGUGCCAGCAGCCGCGGUAAUACGUAGGGUGCAAGCGUUAAUCGGAAUUACUGGGCGUAAAGCGUGCGCAGGCGGUUCGGAAAGAAGGAUGUGAAAUCCCAGGGCUCAACCUUGGAACUGCAUUCUUAACUACCGAACUAGAGUAUGUCAGAGGGGGGUAGAAUUCCGCGUGUAGCAGUGAAAUGCGUAGAUAUGCGGAGGAAUACCGAUGGCGAAGGCAGCCCCCUGGGAUAAUACUGACGCUCAUGCACGAAAGCGUGGGUAGCAAACAGGAUUAGAUACCCUGGUAGUCCACGCCCUAAACGAUGUCAACUAGCUGUUGGGCCCUUCGGGGCUUAGUAGCGUAGCUAACGCGUGAAGUUGACCGCCUGGGGAGUACGGUCGCAAGAUUAAAACUCAAAGGAAUUGACGGGGACCCGCACAAGCGGUGGAUGAUGUGGAUUAAUUCGAUGCAACGCGAAAAACCUUACCUACCCUUGACAUGUCUGGAAUCCUUUAGAGAUAGAGGAGUGCUCGCAAGAGAACCGGAACACAGGUGCUGCAUGGCUGUCGUCAGCUCGUGUCGUGAGAAUUUGGGUUAAGUCCCGCAACGAGCGCAACCCUUGUCAUUAGUUGCCAGCAUUCAGUUGGGCACUCUAAUG